GCAGCAGGAACCUCAGCCCUAAGGCGUUCCCAGGAGUCAGAGCCAUCCUAGAAAUUCUCACAUGCAAAUUCCCUUCAGAAGCCCUCAGAGUACCUCUGUGGAGAUGGGAGAGUUGAAAACAAAAGGACACAGACCCAAAUGCUGUCAGCAACCUCCUAUGGAAGGAGGGCAUCAAGAGGGGGCUCUGCUGGGACCUGUGAGGAGCACCAGCUGCUUGCUGGGGGGCCCAGAAAAACUCCUGAAGAUAGCCAUGGUUUGGCUCAGAAGAUAAUUCCAUACAGCAGCCCACUAUAGCCAAAGCAUUGGACAUGGCUUCCCCGUGUGACUAACCCAGCAUAGCAGGAGAUGGUGAUGGCCUUCAACACACUGUACAGAAACACAACUUCUGCUGAGCAGACUAUCAGCCUCCAUCCACAGCAUACCAGACAGCAGGUGAAAGAAUCUCUUCCUGCAGUUUCUAGGAGGAACCUCAGCCCAAGAGCAUCCACAGCAAAGGUGUGACCCCUCCCCAAUCCACAUGUGUAUCCCAGUCUACCCAUACCCUUCAUGAAAAAUCCCAAAGGGAAGCCUGGCAUGCCGAGGAGCCCAUCUCCAUGCCUACAUCCACAUGAUCUUUAAACUCCUUCUGAGGAGCGAUCUGACUCACUCAGCAAUGAGUUCACAGGUGAAGUGGUGAUCCCCAGCUCUGCCUGUCAGCCUGCUCACCUUGAAGAUCAUGGACUUGGGGCAUUCCUGAGGCAUAGGCCUUGGCUAUCCCUGAGACUGUCUGGAUGUUUACUUGUGCCUGUGCCACUGGAAGAAGUCUUACUGCUCUCCUGCGUGGUACCUGGUCUCCCAGGAGGAAGGACACAUUCCCCACCUCACAGCUACCAGAAAAGUUCAAGCUUACCAAAGGGGCACACACAUUGAGUUCAUUUCUACCAUCAGGAACACAGUACAUGCAGACUGGGUGUUCACCGACCUCUAGGAAAACAGUCAGUGGCUUGCAUACCAGAGAGGAAAAAUCCACACAGUGACUCUUGGAUAUAUUUAAACAGACACAGACUCCCUUCCUUGACUUGUGUCUAACAGGAAGCAGAAGGAGUGGCAA